GGAUAAGCCCUUACGGGGAAAGAUUUAUCGCCGAAAGAUCGGCCCGCGUCUGAUUAGCUAGUUGGUGAGGUAAUGGCUCACCAAGGCGACGAUCAGUAGCUGGUCUGAGAGGAUGAUCAGCCACAUUGGGACUGAGACACGGCCCAAACUCCUACGGGAGGCAGCAGUGGGGAAUAUUGGACAAUGGGCGCAAGCCUGAUCCAGCCAUGCCGCGUGAGUGAUGAAGGCCCUAGGGUUGUAAAGCUCUUUUGUGCGGGAAGAUAAUGACGGUACCGCAAGAAUAAGCCCCGGCUAACUUCGUGCCAGC
rnacentral:rRNA from 1 species